GAUGAACGCUCGCUACAGGCUUAACACAUGCAAGUCGAGGGGAAACGGCAUUGAGUGCUUGCACUCUUUGGACGUCGACCGGCGCACGGGUGAGUAACGCGUAUCCAACCUUCCCAUUACUGUGGGAUAACCUGCCGAAAGGCAGACUAAUACCGCAUAGUCUUCGAUGACGGCAUCAGAUUUGAAGUAAAGAUUUAUCGGUAAUGGAUGGGGAUGCGUCUGAUUAGCUUGUUGGCGGGGUAACGGCCCACCAAGGCGACGAUCAGUAGGGGUUCUGAGAGGAAGGUCCCCCACAUUGGAACUGAGACACGGUCCAAACUCCUACGGGAGGCAGCAGUGAGGAAUAUUGGUCAAUGGACGGAAGUCUGAACCAGCCAAGUAGCGUGCAGGAUGACGGCCCUAUGGGUUGUAAACUGCUUUUGGAUGGGGAUAAAGUUAGGGACGGGUCCCUAUUUGAAGGUACCAUACGAAUAAGGACCGGCUAAUUCCGUG
rnacentral:rRNA from 1 species